CGGGGUAGUAGUAGUACUACUCUAACUCAUGUAACAUCUUUUACUGUAACGAGUGCUUAUAUAUGGACUUGUUUGAUAAAAUCAGAGGACGCGAUAGGAGAAGAGAUGAUCAUAGAUGAUAGUGUAAUGGAAUGUUUCGGAUGUGCAGCAGAUUUUAGAGCGCGAUUCAAUCCACCACUUCCUCAAUCUUAUUUUGGGAAUUGCAUAGUUGGGUAUGUCACAAAAUCAAUAAGGCAUGUUGACUUAGUUGGAAGGGAAGGGUUUAAAAUUGCGGUAGAAUCAAUUGGAGAAGUCAUUCAAGAAAAAAUGAAGGAUGAUGAAUGGGUCCUUAAUGGUGAUUGGUUAAAAGUAUACGACAAUGUAGAUGUGAUUCGAUCAUUUUCAAUUGCUGGAUCGCAAAAACAUGACUUAUAUGCUGCUGAUUUUGGAUGGGGAAGAGCCGCAAAGUUGGAAUUCAUUUCCAUUGACAAUGAUGAUGGCGGUAUUUCGAUGUCUCUUAGUAAAUCUAAAGAUUUUGAUGGAGAUUUAGAGAUUGGUUUGUGUUUGUCUAAAACUCGAAUGAAUGCUUUUGCUUCUAUAUUCACUCACGAGCUUAGCUUUCUAUGCCAAGUCUGAGUACUUUUCGAGGAUUUGGCAAAGACCCCUACCCUUACAGACUCUCAUAUUCAAUUGCUUGAUAUUAGUUUUUUCUAAGCCGAAUAAUUAAUUUUUUUUUAAAUUUUG
rnacentral:misc_RNA from 1 species